AGCCUCUUCAGGGACACGGGCAGCCCCCGCCGCCAGUACCAGCACCUCCAGCCCGCCGGCGAGAGCAGCGACCACGACUACGCUUUGCCCAGCUCCCGGCCCCGCGGCCUGGAGGAGGCGGCGGCGGUGACUGAGACGGAGGAGGAGUGGGCGGCCCCCGGCGGGAUCUGCCUGCACGUGGACCGGGAUCAGGUGUCGGUGGAGUUCUGCUCCAUCUGUGCUCGGCGGGCAGCGGCCUCCUUCAAAAUGUAGGGUCAAGUACCUGCUGCAAGUACUCGUGGGGUUCUCACCCGUAAGGGCCUCGCGUCGCGGCGGAGGAAGCAGGCGAUGGUGCGGAGGAAAAGAAUCCAUGCAGUGGUGAUGGGGUGGUAUUGGGGGAGAUGCAAAGGAGGGGAGCCUGGCGCUUACUUAAGUGCGCAGGGUAACAAAAAAAAAAUCUCUCGAACGGCACGUUGGGAGCCAGACGGUGGCCUUGGUUUAAGGUCCUGUAAAUCUGGCGUGUGGACGGUAGUGGUGUGAGCCUGUUUGGCGAUGGGAGUCGCGCAGAGCUGUGUGCAGCAGUGCGACAGUGGUCGUGCAGACUGACACGCGCGUGGUGCCGCCAGAGCCCGUUCGCAGCACUUGGGUGAAAAGAUCAUGCCGACUUGAUGCAUGAAGGUGUGCUCGGCUCCACUUCGCAGUAAAGAUAAUGCUGACUACCCGGUCUUGAGUCAGAUAAUGUCUAGCCUGCUUAUCCUGAGGAGCCGAAAAUGCUUGCUUAGAAAACCAAACAAAAACUCCAUUAUGACAUCGUCACUGGACAGACUUAAGAAAAUAGUAAUGAUCGGCAAAAGAAAGCAUGCAUAUAAAAUUGUACUGCAUCUCAGUUAUACAUUACUAUUAAAACCUCUCUGACAGUUUCUCUUUUAGGUGGUUGCCCUGCCAGGCUCCGUUGUGUAGGGGUUAAAGAACAGUCGUUUUCCACCUCGCAACCUGUGGAUUCAGCUGUGUUGGGGCAGAAGAGACGGGACCAGCUGCUGGCCACAUUUCCUGCUUUAUUUUAAAAGGUAGUAUAAGAAAUGAGAAUAAAGAGGUAACAGGGCUUUUGCUGUCUUUGGUUAAAAAAAAAAAAGUUGAAUGCUGGGAUUAUUUACUGUCAUUCAAGAUGUUUUUUUCUUAAAAGACAGUAUUCUAUCAAACAGGUUUUACUCCACUGUAUGCAGAAUUCCAUCUGUUCAGGGUAUAUUGCCAGCAUGAAAGAGUCUUAGUGGGAUAUGUGUGACCUUACACUUCUGUGGUGGCAUCAACAGGGCUGUUCAAAAUUUCAGUCGUAACUUGGGUAACUGCUGUAACUGAUGGGUUAUACCAGUGCACAGGAGUCAGAAUUAACCACCAGGACCUGCACUGACUGAUAUGCAAAAUGGAAAUAAUUUAGAUUCAACCUGCCUAGCUCAGACUUCAUGAACGUGCUUUAUUUUGCAGUUUAUUGUGCUUGAGGAAGAGAGAAACACUAAUGUAGCAAGCAUGGGAUGUUCCAGUGGCAUUUUUACGGUUACUUCAGUGUAGGAGUGUUUUUUAAGUUAAUUUAAAUAUGCAUUCUUUCUUGUUGCAUCACUGCUGAAUGGCAGGGUCAGGGACAGUUCUUCUGGCCUCUGCUGUGAACCUGCACAAUGCUCUGUCGUGACACAACCUGUGGCUGUGUCUGAGAGCAGCUGAUUUUCUGACAUGCAAAAUGAUGUAUUGUGGUACAAGAACAAGGUCAAGUCCCAAGAAAGUCAGUGGCUGCAGGCAUUUCUAGUGCCUACUGAAUCAUAUUUAAACCAAAUAGAAGGGAGGAAGUUAUUUGAAACUCUAACCAACUGUACUAUCUGUAUGGUGUAUUAUUAAUGUAGCUUUUUGAAUUGAAAGCCUUGAAAUGACGUAACUUAAUACUUGAAAAUAUAUUGUAAAUGUUUCUUUGUAAUUAUGUGCCAUUCAGAUAAGAAUACAAUACCAUAAUAAAAUCAGACUUGUUGAUCUUUCAGUUUAUGGGCUCAAAUGUUUUUUCAUCUUUUUCUUUUCAUGGAUGACUUGGUUCAUUAAACAAAGUGGUAAAACAGAAAGGGGAAAAUGCUGCUAUCUCUGGGUCAUCAACUGGAAAACAAGAUAAAAUGGGUCAGGGUAUGCAGGAGAAAUGUUCUUGCUCUUCUGUUUUUAAAGGUAAUUUUGUGGUAAGGACAACACAAAGCUGUUAUUCCUUGAACUGUGAUAGAGCUGUACUUCUGAGAAUCAGCACUUCUUGUAUUUCAUAGUUGUUCCUAAUUUUUUAUUGAUAUGGAUAUGUUUGAUCAAUGUACCAUGGAGGAAUAAAAUACUUACAUAGACCCUUCUGUGGUCUAUUGGCAUCUUCCUCCCUUCUGUUUUAUUUUUAGGCUCUGAAAUUUCAUUCAGACCAUACAGGCUGUUGAAUCACAAUCUUUGAUCAAAUUGCUAUAUUCCACACUAAACACUGGUGUGAGUGUUAAAAACAAAAUGUUUGACAGUGCUGAAAGGACAGAACAUUUUCAAUGCUCUGGAGUGAGCCAUGUACUGUAUGUUCAGAUAUCUGCUCAUCUUAAAUGCUUUAUUUUUGUAGAGGACAGUCUGAAAUAGUGCACUGGCUUUCUAGCAUUUCACUUUCUAGUGAAAGAGGUCUGCAGCAUGAUAAAAAGGAGCAUUUCACAAAAAAUACUGCAUAAAAAUGUAAAAGCAUCCUGGCAUGCUCGGCCUUUUUGGCCUCUUGUUGUAGGAAAUGCCUUUUUCAGCACUGAAACAUGUUUGGUAUAUUGUAUGUACCACAGAACCAAGUGCUGCCAGUGUUCAGCUGCACAGCUAUGCUACCUGCAUUUACCUGUUUGUUUGUUUUUUUUUUUUCCCCAACAGAGUCACUUGAAGACUGUUUAGUGUUUAAAUAUGGAACAAUUUCAUGCUCAGUUCUCCUUUAGUUCUUUGGAGUUUGAUUUUGGUGUUGACUCUUGGUAGUGUUCUAAAUUAACUUCUGUUUCCUCUGAAGAGAUCUGAAGCAUUUGGGCAUUAAAAACAAAUUGGUUCUUCUGUAAUGUGUCGCUGUCUGGAGAGAUGAUACCAAAGGAAAUGCAGUGAACCAUGUUCCAACACUUGGCAUUUAUUGGUAGUUCCAAAUAAUCAGACUUCUUAUGUCAUUGGUCAAAAUUGUUAUCAGUUUUCCCUGUGAAACACAGGGAUCUUUGGCAAAAUACAAAGGGUUCUUGUACAUUUACUGAUUUUUAAAAUGCUAUGCUUUCUAGAGUUUGUAGUUAAGGAAGUUUUCUGCUGGAAUCAGCACUAUUCUGAUGAUAGGGCUAUAUUUACUAUUAGUUACACUGUAAUAUAUCUGCAGGAUAUGUUUGGUAUGGGAGCCAUUCAAAUGGACUCUGUUUAAAGAACACCCUCUGCAAAAAUUGCUUGUUACCAGCUGCUGAUUCUACAUUUUCCCACACAGUUUAAGUGGGAUAUGCAGAUGUGGAGAAAUAAUUCUGCUUGUGCUCAUUAUCGGGAGGAUGCCAAGGGCAGGACUUGCACGUGUACCGGGAGGAUGAGGGUGUCAUUUGCAGGAGCUGUAGAAUAUUGAGACAGAAUGGUGCAUCUAGAAGAUAAAAGUGAUGCCUUUUUAGAAAUUCUGUUGGCUCUUAUCUGUAGCUAUUCUUGGCAUUCUUUUGGCUGUAGUUCAGACUUGGAGUAGCCUGAAGUCCUGUCUCUGGGAUAUGUAGCCUGUUUCUACUACAGUGGUGGAAGGAAGGAUCCAAUAACACCUGUUCUCACUCCGUGUUUGUGGGGAGUUUAUUACAGUUGUCAGAGGCUAAGGACUGGCUCUUGGGAAUUGUAGGAGGUAGGUCAUAUCCUGAGUAUGAAACAGGGAAUGGAAGGAGCGUUCCCAGAUUCCUGACUAGGCACUCCUCUACACACAUGCUGCCAGAACUGGGACAGCACCAUGCUGUCCUGUGGAAUUCUGAAGCAACUUCAGACUUUACUGAUUAACUUCUGAGAACACUUCUUCCCCUCAAUAGUUUAAAGAGAAGUACAGAGGGUGUAAUUGAAAAGUUUACUUGUUCACAAACACACCACCUUUCUAGUCUCAGGAGUGUUCAGCUGACCUUUGAUGUGACUAGUGCUGAACAUGUAAAGUACAUGCUUGCAAUUUGAGUGUUCAUCAGUGAUGCUGGAAACAACUAUUGGUCUUUGUAACUUACUAAAAACGUUGAGGAGUGUAACUUUUUUUUUAAUAUACAAUCUUCAUCUUUCACAUUAAGAAAUGAGUAUCUAAAAAGAUGUGGUUUGUCCGGGUCAGGCCACUAAACAUCAGAACAUGCAUUUUGGUGCCAGGAUAAUUAUCACUUCAAUUUAUACCAAAAUGAAAGUAGUACAUGGAAGGGGAGAUCUUUUUGAGUCUCACCCAUUAAUCUGCUUAUAGUAUUUUAACUAUUUUAAUGCUUGCAAUAAUCACUGAGCCAAUCAUUGUCAUUCUUCAAGAUACUAUUGCACAAUAACACCUUUAUUUUAUGUUUUUAUUAUCACAGGUAAGUGGUUCUGUUGGUUAAAGUCUGAUGGCUUCCGGAGAUAUGACAGUUCACUGUCAUGUAAAAUACUUGCUCCAUGAGAAUCUCCAGUCGGGGUGAUUAAGGUAAGGCCAAGCUGUCUGGGUGCAGGAUGGAAACACCACAUGACACAGCGACACUUUGAAUCAAUGAAAACUAAAUUAUCUCUAACAACAACAGGGAGUCUGUAUUGCUGCUUCCCUGUACAAAUCAGGCUGCUGCACCUGCUUAUAGAGAAUGAAUGUGUCAUGGUCCUGCUGUGAUGACCCAUUUUUAAGGUAAAUAAAGAUGAUGAAACAGCUUCCAUA